ACUCCUACGGGAGGCAGCAGUGGGGAAUAUUGCGCAAUGGACGAAAGUCUGACGCAGCGACGCCGCGUGGAGGAUGAAGGUUUUCGGAUCGUAAACUCCUGUCAAGAGGGAAGAAACCUAUUAUGAAUAAUACUCAUAGUAAUUGACGGUACCUCUAGAGGAAGCACCGGCUAAUUCAGUGCCAGCAGCCGCGGUAAUACUGAAGGUGCAAGCGUUAAUCGGAAUCACUGGGCGUAAAGCGCUCGUAGGUGGCUUUGUAAGUCAGGUGUGAAAGCCCACGGCUCAACCGUGGAAUUGCACUUGAUACUGCAUCGCUAGAGUAUAGGAGAGGGAAGUGGAAUUUCUGGUGUAGGAGUGAAAUCCGUAGAGAUCAGAAGGAACACCCGUGGCGAAGGCGACUUCCUGGACUAUUACUGACACUGAGGAGCGAAAGCGUGGGGAGC
rnacentral:rRNA from 1 species